AAGAAUGGGUACAAAUGACAACUAUGACCUAACCCCAUACAAGUUACUGUGGGAACAGGGUAAUUUCCUAGAAGCUGAAUGGCUAGAUCAUAUAGCAGGUGUGGUGAAAUGGCAUUAUAUUGGAAGAAGAUGCCAUCUAGGACUUUCAUGUGCUGGGAAAUCCUUUGUGAGAAGAUGAGUCAAUCAACAUGGCGAACUUCACUGUUGCCUUAUUUUAAGAAAUGGCCACAGCCACCCCAGCCUUCAGCAACUACGACCCUGAUUAGUAGACAACCAUCAACAUCAAGUCAAGACCCUCCACCAACAAAAAAGAUUAUGACUUGCUGAA